rnacentral:lncRNA from 9 species
AUGAGGAGAGGAAUAUCAUUAUGGAGGCGUUAUUGGAUUGAGCCUCCUGACUUGAAAUGUUCAGAAAUAUUCGUUUGCCUUUCAGAUAUUUACCACGCAUUUAUUCUACUGGGGGAAAAACACCUUAGAGGUUAUGAAAUGAGGCCACUGUGUAUUUACACUGAGGGUUUUCUUUUCAGUUUUUUAAAAAGUACAUUUUUUUUUUUUUUUUUUUUUUUUUUUUUUUUUUUUUUUUUUUUUUUUUUAAUUUAUUUUGGAGUUCCCAUUGUGGUGCAGCAGAAACGAACCUGACCAGUAUCCACGAGGAUGCAGAUUCCAACCCUGGCCUUGCUCUGUUGGCUGGGGAUCCAGCGUUGCCGAGAGCUAUGGUGUUAAGUAGCAGAUGCGGCUCGGAUCCCAUGUGUGGCUGUGGUGUAGGCUGGCAGCUGUAGCUCUGAUUUCACCCCUAGCCUGGGACCUUCUAUAUGCUGUGGGUGUGGCCCUAAAAAGAAACAAAAAUUUCAUGGAAGUAUAGUCGAUUUAGAAUGUUGUGUUAAUUUCUGCUGGACAUCGGUUUCUAUUCUGAUUGGUGUGGGAGCCAUAGCAGGUUCCUGAGCAGAGGAGGGAUGUGAGCUGACUUGUUUGGACAGGCUCACGCUGGCGGCUGUGAGUUGGGGCUGAAGGGGGUCAAGGAUGGAAGCAGGAGACCAUCGGGGGCUGACGUGACCCAAGCCGGAGUGGUGAUAUGGGAGGUAUAAGAAGUCUUAAGAGUUUGCCUCCAUUUUGAAUGUAGAGUCAAGAGGAGGUGCAGCUGGGGCUGGGCAGAGGGUGGAAGAGAGGACGCAGCAAAGCUUGUGCUGCUUAAACUCCUAAAAGGCGUCCCACUGUCUUGGGAUAAACUCUGGAGUCUUUCUCCAGGUCUGACAUGCACUGGCCCCGGCUGGCUUCUCCUGCUGCUCCAUCCGCCUCUGCCUGCUCCUGCCCCAACCGUCCCCGCCUCCCUAAGUCAGAAUUCCCCAGACCUUGCAGCACAGCACCCCUCCUUUUUCAUGGCCCUCCUUAAUAUGUUAAUGGUGUGUUGGGUGUUGGUUUUGGUUUUAAAUGUAUCUAUUUUCUUGUUUUUGUCUCCUUCCCUAGGAUCUAAACCCCAUAGGACAGAGACAUUCUGCCUGACCACUAGCUUUGUCCUACAAGGUGUCACACCUAUAUGAAGAACGCAUGCACCCAUGGACUGUGCUCUUCCCAGGAGUUACCGUUAUUUCUCCGGGCACCUGCAAGGUAAGCAUCGCUCCCCCGAUUUUAUAAGGAAGGAAAGUGUCCCGGCAGAGGUUACAUUUGGACCUGCCCAAGGCACACCUGAUUCUAGGAAGCGGUAGGACCCGAGUCUGACCUUGGGCCUGUGGAUUCCAGAGCGUGUGCUGCCCCUUCCCAGCCCUUCCUGGGCCCUGAAGCUCAGGUGGGCACAGAGCGUGGGGUGUGGGGGGGGAAGGGAGGAGGGGGUGAAGUGGGGGUAGGUGGGGUGGGGGAGGGGUGUGCUCAGUGCCAGCUUGUUGAAUGAAUCGCAGGUAAGGUCUGCGAUCCUAGAGGCCGCCUGCAAGCACAUGGGAAGAACGGCGUAUUUGCCGCUCAG